rnacentral:misc_RNA from 1 species
GCUGGAGGUGACUGGGGAGACCAGAGACGGGGUGUGGAGUACCUAUAAGAGCGUCAAGUCCCACUAAUCGUUCCUCCUUUACUAUCCCUCUCUCUUAUAUUUCUGCAACCUCUCCCAUGGACCCACCACCGCCCCCUCAACCGCCGCCUUCUUCUUCCCUUUCCACCGCUACCACCACCUCUGCCACCCCCACCAACACCACCGCGGCAACCACCUUGCCCCCUCACCUAGCCGCUACCAAUACCUCCGCCGGAACCUACCCUGACUCCAUUGAUUCCUCUCCUCGCUCUCGCACGACUGAUUCUUAUUUUGAUGACCCCCCUCCCCUCUCCUCAAAGCUCCGCCUCAU